rnacentral:rRNA from 1 species
CUGCAGGCUGCAACUCGCCUGCACGAAGUCGGAAUUGCUAGUAAUCGUAGGUCAGCAUACUACGGUGAAUACGUUCCCGGGUCUUGUACACACCGCCCGUCAAACCAUGAGAGUCACCAACACCCGAAGUCCGCCUUGGCGGCCUAAGGUGGGGGAGAUGAUUGGGGUUAAGUCGUAACAAGGUAGC